GGUGGAUACUUUGACUCAUGAGAGAGAAGCUGAGGCGAAGGCGUCUACCUAGAGGGUUUCUGUCGAUCAAGGGCGAGAGUAGGAGUAUCCAACAGGAUUAGAGACCCUGGUAGUUCCUACCUUAAACGAUGCCGACAGGAGUUUGUCAUUUGUUAAUGGCAGAAUCUUUGGAGAAAUCAUAGUUCUUGGGCUCUGGGGGAACUACGACCGCAAGGCUGAAACUUGAAGGAAUUGACGGAAGGGCACACCAGGGGUGGAGCCUGUGGCUUAAUUUGAAUCAACACGGGGAAACUUACCAGGACCAGAUGUUUUUUAUGACUGACAGGCUUCGGGUCUUUCAGGAUAUUGUUUUUGGUGGUGCAUGGCCGUUGGUGGUGCGUGGGUUGACCUGUCUAGCGUUGAUUCAGCUAACGAGCGAGAUUAUCGCCAAUUAUUUACUUUGCCGAAGUCCUUCGGUUAAAGUUCUAAUUGGGACUCCCUGCGAUUUUAGCAGGUGGAAGAGGGUAGCAAUAACAGGUCCGUGAUGCCCUUUAGAUGCUCUGGGCUGCACGCGUGCUACAAUGUUAGGAUCAAUAGGACUGCGAGCCUGAGAGGGUGCGCUACUCUUAUAAUCCCUAACGUAGUUGGGAUUGACGUUUGUAAUCAGCGUCAUGAACCAGGAAUCCCUUGUAAAUGUGUGUCAACAACGCACGUUGAAUACGUCCCUGCCCUUUGUACACACCGCCCGUCGCUCCUACCGAUUGGAUGACUCGGUGAAAUCACCGGAUGCUUACGAGCAGAAAGUGAUUAAAUCACGUUAUCUAGAGGAAGGAGAAGUCGUAACAAGGUAACGGUAGGUGAACCUGCCGUUGGAUC
rnacentral:rRNA from 1 species